AAUGAACGUUGGCGGCGUGGAUUAGGCAUGCAAGUCGAGCGACGCAUUUGCCUUCGGGUGGAUGACGGAGCGGCGAAAGGGAGAGUAACGCGUAGAUACCUACCCUCGGAUCCGGGAUAGCGGCGGGAAACUGCCGGUAAUACCAGAUAACGUCCCCGGACCAAAGGUUUCGGCCGUCCGAGGAGGGGUCUGCGUCCUAUUAGCUAGUUGGCGGGGUAAUGGCCCACCAAGGCGUAGAUGGGUAGCGGGUGUGAGAGCAUGACCCGCCUCACUGGGACUGAGACACUGCCCAGACACCUACGGGUGGCUG
rnacentral:rRNA from 1 species